GGCUUUAUAGUCAAUGUUGAUGAUAUCAGACUGCAAUUCUGAAGUAGUAAUUUUACUAAAGCUU
rnacentral:tRNA from 1 species